rnacentral:rRNA from 1 species
ACACUCCUGCGGGAGGCAGCAGUGAGGAAUAUUGGACAAUGGGUGGAAGCCUGAUCCAGCCAUCCCGCGUGCAGGAAGACGGCCCUAUGGGUUGUAAACUGCUUUUAUCUGGGGAUAAACCUACUUACGUGUAAGUAGCUGAAGGUACCAGAAGAAUAAGCACCGGCUAACUCCGUGCCAGCAGCCGCGGUAAUACGGAGGGUGCAAGCGUUAUUCGGAUUUAUUGGGUUUAAAGGGUCCGUAGGCGGACUGAUAAGUCAGUGGUGAAAUCCGACAGCUUAACUGUCGAACUGCCAUUGAUACUGUUAGUCUUGAGUAAGGUUGAAGUGGCUGGAAUAAGUAGUGUAGCGGUGAAAUGCAUAGAUAUUACUUAGAACACCAAUUGCGAAGGCAGGUCACUAAGUCUUAACUGACGCUGAUGGACGAAAGCGUGGGGAGCGAACAGGAUUAGAAACCCUAGUAGUCC